UUGUAUCCGUCUUUCAUUGGCUACUUUCUGUUCCUAAAUACCUUCAAAUAAGAUCUCUAGUUUUUGCCAGCAGUACUCUGAACUUGAUAUUAGUAAAAUGGGUGCAAUCUGAUGAGCAGAAUAAUCUUUUAGCACAGUAAAUGUAAGAAAAGUGUGGGAAAAUGGACUUGGACUGUUUUGAGUCCUAUCAUUAGCAUUCCUGCAAGUUGUGUUCCUUUGUGAGUUGUGACUUGUGACUGAUGUUUGUAUAUUGUCUCUCUGGCCACUUGUGCAAGAUAUGUAAUUCGAAUUCCAAAAGCCCGGAGAGUGAAUACUCUGCCUUUUGAAAGAAUCAUGAUGGGCUCCGAGUGCAUGUCAUUGAAAGAGAUUUGACAGAGCCAGACCGAAUCAUUGGGGAACCAUUGCAACCAGGUGGCUACCUGAAAAAAAAAAAAAAGAAAAAAAAAAAAGAAGGUGCAAAUUCCUUCAUGACUGGUCCAUUAUUUGAUCAUGAGAGUCAUCUUUAUCAGCCCAUUUGUCGGCACUUGAUUGUAUUAGUUUCAUAUGAGUUAUAAUACUAUCCUGUGCUUUUGAUAUACUGAUACCUGUGUCUUUUCCUUCUACAUUUUUU